rfam:Triticum urartu cultivar G1812 contig700731, whole genome shotgun sequence.
AGGUUACUACCCUCCGUCUCAAAAUUCUUGUUUUAGAUUUGUCUAAAUACGAAUGUAUCAAGUCAUGUUUUAGUAUUAGAUACAUCCGUAUCUAGACUAAUCUAAGACAAGAAUUUUGGGACGGAGGGAGUAUUUU